rnacentral:rRNA from 1 species
CAUGCAAGUCGAACGCUUUGUGGUUCAACUGAUUUGAAGAGCUUGCUCAGAUAUGACGAUGGACAUUGCAAAGAGUGGCGAACGGGUGAGUAACACGUGGGAAACCUACCUCUUAGCAGGGGAUAACAUUUGGAAACAGAUGCUAAUACCGUAUAACAAUGACAACCGCAUGGUUGUUAUUUAAAAGAUGGUUCUGCUAUCACUAAGAGAUGGUCCCGCGGUGCAUUAGCUAGUUGGUAAGGUAAUGGCUUACCAAGGCGAUGAUGCAUAGCCGAGUUGAGAGACUGAUCGGCCACAAUGGGACUGAGACACGGCCCAUACUCCUACGGGAGGCAGCAGUAGGGAAUCUUCCACAAUGGGCGAAAGCCUGAUGGAGCAACGCCGCGUGUGUGAUGAAGGGUUUCGGCUCGUAAAACACUGUUGUAAGAGAAGAAUGACAUUGAGAGUAACUGUUCAAUGUGUGACGGUAUCUUACCAGAAAGGAACGGCUAAAUACGUGCCAGCAGCCGCGGUAAUACGUAUGUUCCAAGCGUUAUCCGGAUUUAUUGGGCGUAAAGCGAGCGCAGACGGUUAUUUAAGUCUGAAGUGAAAGCCCUCAGCUCAACUGAGGAAUUGCUUUGGAAACUGGAUGACUUGAGUGCAGUAGAGGAAAGUGGAACUCCAUGUGUAGCGGUGAAAUGCGUAGAUAUAUGGAAGAACACCAGUGGCGAAGGCGGCUUUCUGGACUGUAACUGACGUUGAGGCUCGAAAGUGUGGGUAGCAAACAGGAUUAGAUACCCUGGUAGUCCACACCGUAAACGAUGAGUGCUAGGUGUUUGAGGGUUUCCGCCCUUAAGUGCCGCAGCUAACGCAUUAAGCACUCCGCCUGGGGAGUACGACCGCAAGGUUGAAACUCAAAGGAAUUGACGGGGACCCGCACAAGCGGUGGAGCAUGUGGUUUAAUUCGAAGCAACGCGAAGAACCUUACCAGGUCUUGACAUCCCUUGACAACUCCAGAGAUGGAGCGUUCCCUUCGGGGACAAGGUGACAGGUGGUGCAUGGUUGUCGUCAGCUCGUGUCGUGAGAUGUUGGGUUAAGUCCCGCAACGAGCGCAACCCUUAUUACUAGUUGCCAGCAUUCAGUUGGGCACUCUAGUGAGACUGCCGGUGACAAACCGGAGGAAGGUGGGGAUGACGUCAAAUCAUCAUGCCCCUUAUGACCUGGGCUACACACGUGCUACAAUGGCGUAUACAACGAGUUGCCAACCCGCGAGGGUGAGCUAAUCUCUUAAAGUACGUCUCAGUUCGGAUUGUAGGCUGCAACUCGCCUACAUGAAGUCGGAAUCGCUAGUAAUCGCGGAUCAGCACGCCGCGGUGAAUACGUUCCCGGGUCUUGUACACACCGCCCGUCACACCAUGAGAGUUUGUAACACCCAAAUCCGGUGGGGUAACCUUCGGGAGCCA